GCUUGGACACUGGCUGUGGACAUCUGGCGGCCAGAUUUGUUUUCAAUUUCGGGGCAUAGCUAGUCCUUUAGCCCCUACCUUCUUCUUGGUUCCCUGUCAUAGUGUCAGAUGAAGCGUGGGUUUCGAGAGUAAAGAUGUUCUUCGUUGGUUUCUUUUUUUUUCUGUUAGCUGGGUAUGUCUUCGUGAGGAAGAAAUAUUUGCCAUUUGUUUCCGAGACGCUCGACUUAAAAGUGUAUUCCAAAUUCAUUACGGAAUUAAGGUGUCGAUCUACAUUUUCAGCCAUUAAAUGUGAUCUGGCAUAUAAUUUCAUUUGGCCAAAUAUGAUGACGUGGGUCGAAACUUCUGCCAUUUUGUCGAAAUGUCGGCCAUUGUUAGCUGUACGUCUCAUUUCGUGCAAACACUUCAGAGCUAGUAAAGUCAGAGAUGGAUAUCGCUUUUCUCAACUGUUGCAGAAACUUAGAACACGACAAAGUCUGUGCUUCAUGGCUGUUGUAUCAUUAAUGUGGUUUUGUUGUAGCCAGCUGGUGAAAGGUGUGAUCGAGUCAUGGUUGAGUUGCAGCUUCUGCAUGCAGUUUAUCAAGCUGGUGCUAUCCCAAGUCCAGGUGAAGUCUGUGCUUCUUUGUUGCAGUCUAAUGUGCACAUGGAUUGGUUGCAGUCAUCCAGUGAAAGGUGUUAUUAAAUUGAGCUGCGUUGCAUGCAGUCUUUGGUGCUGAUGUUGUCCUGGAGAGUGGGAGAGUCCCAUGCUUUAAGUCUUCUGGGAUCAGCCAUAUCUGAGUUGACGCUGGAUCAUGCUGCAUUGUGGUUGCCGAAAUGUUGGACAUCUAGUAGAACUGCAAAAAGACUACUUGAAAUGGUUUAUGUUUACCUAGCAGUGAUGUUGCUGUCCAAUAUGGCAUGUUGUUGCAGCUUAUACUGGUGAAAGAUUUUUUGCAUCGAGUUAUGCUGUUGCUGUUCUUUGGUGCCGGACUGCUGGUGUUGUGCACAAAAG